rnacentral:rRNA from 1 species
AGGGCACCACCAGGAGUGGAGCCUGCGGCUUAAUUUGACUCAACACGGGAAAUCUCACCAGGCCCGGACACCGGAAGGAUUGACAGAUUGAGAGCUCUUUCUUGAUUCGGUGGGUGGUGGUGCAUGGCCGUUCUUAGUUGGUGGAGCGAUUUGUCUGGUUAAUUCCGAUAACGAACGAGACUCUGGCCUACUAAAUAGACAUUGGAUCAUUUAUGGUCCACUGCAGCUUCUUAGAGGGACGGGCGGCUUAUAGCCGCACGAGAAUGAGCAAUAACAGGUCUGUGAUGCCCUUAGAUGUUCUGGGCUGCACGCGCGCUACACUGAAGGAAUCAGCGUGUGUACCCUGUCCGAAAGGACUGGGAAACCCGUUGAACCUCCUUCGUGAUGGGGAUUGGGGAUUGCAAUUAUUCCCCAUGAACGAGGAAUUCCCAGUAGGCGCGAGUCAUAAGCUUGCGUCGAUUACGUCCCUGCCCUUUGUGCACACCGCCCGUCGCUACUACCGAUCGAGUGUUUUAGUGA